UCGGGAAUUUUGGGCAAUGGGCGAAAGCCUGACCCAGCAACGCCGCGUGAAGGAUGAAGUAUUUCGGUAUGUAAACUUCGAAAGAAUAGGAAGAAUAAAUGACGGUACUAUUUAUAAGGUCCGGCUAACUACGUGCCAGCAGCCGCGGUAAUACGUAGGGACCAAGCGUUGUUCGGAUUUAUUGGGCGUAAAGAGCUCGUAGGCGGCUCAGUGAGUCGGAUGUGAAAACUCGGGGCUCAACCCCGAGACGCCAUCCGAUACUGCUGUGGCUUGAAUCUGGUAGGGGAGAUCGGAAUUCCUGGUGUAGCGGUGGAAUGCGCAGAUAUCAGGAGGAACACCAAUGGCGAAGGCAGGUCUCUGGGCCAUUACUGACACUGAGGAGCGAAAGCGUGGGGAGCGAACAGGAUUAGAUACCCAAGUAGUCCCUGAGCGGGCUGGCAAGGCGCAU
rnacentral:rRNA from 1 species